rnacentral:rRNA from 1 species
UACGAAGGGGGCUAGCGUUGUUCGGAAUUAUUGGGCGUAAAGGGCGCGUAGGCGGUGCGGUAAGUCACCUGUGAAAUCUCCUGGCUCAACUGGGAGCUUGCAGGCGAAACUGCCGUGCUGGAGUGUGGGAGAGGUGCGUGGAAUUCCUGGUGUAGCGGUGAAAUGCGUAGAUAUCAGGAGGAACACCUGUGGCGAAGGCGGUUGCCUGGAGCUUUGCUGACGCUGAGGCGCGAAAGCGUGGGGAGCGAUCCGG